GGCACUGAUGGCUCAGUGGUUAAGGCUCUGGUUACUGAUCAGAAGUUCGGGGGUUCAUGCCCCAGCACUGCCA